rnacentral:rRNA from 1 species
AUUGAACGCUGGCGGCGUGCUUAACACAUGCAAGUCGAUCGGUAACAGGUGUAGCAAUACAUGCUGACGAGAGGCGGACGGGUGAGGAACGCUUGGGAAUCUGCCUAUCAGCGGGGGACAACCCGGGGAAACCCGGGCUAAUACCGCAUACGCUCUACGGAGGAAAGCCGGGGACCGCAAGGCCUGGCACCGAUAGAUGAGCCCAAGUCGGAUUAGCUAGUUGGCGGGGUAACGGCCCACCAAGGCGACGAUCCGUAGCUGGUCUGAGAGGACGAUCAGCCACACCGGAACUGAGACACGGUCCGGACUCCUACGGGAGGCAGCAGUGGGGAAUAUUGGACAAUGGGCGAAAGCCUGAUCCAGCGACGCCGCGUGGGUGAAGAAGGCCUGCGGGUUGUAAAGCCCUUUCGGUAGGGACGAAAGCUCUCGACCUAACACGUCGGGAGGUUGACUUAACCUACAAAAGAAGCACCGGCUAACUCUGUGCCAGCCGCCGCGGUAA